GACCAAGCUAGUAAGUGCAUAUGGUGGAUGCCUUGGCUAAGACUGUCGAUGAAGGACGUGGUAAGCUGCGUUAAGCGUCGGGUAGGUGCAAACAACCUUUAAUCCGGCGAUCUCCGAAUGGGGUAACCCACUACAAAGUAAAUUUGUAGUAUCCGAAAGGAUGGCAACCUAGGGAAGUGAAACAUCUCAGUACCUAGAGGAAAAGAAAUCAAUUGAGUAUACCGAAAGUAGUGGCGAGCGAAAUUGGUGAAGCCUAAACCAUUAUGUUUACAUGAUGGGGUUGUAGGACCGUAAUAAGUAAAGUUAUAAAUCAAAAAAUUAAUAGAACGGUUUGGAAAAUCCGACCAUAGAAGGUGAAAGUCCUGUAAAUGAAAAUUUUUUGACUUGAAACGGUAUCCUAAGUACCAUCGGACACGUGAAAUCUGGUGGGAAUCUGGGGGGACCACCCUCCAAGGCUAAAUACAAGUCUUAGACCGAUAGUGAACUAGUACCGUGAGGGAAAGGCGAAAAGAACCGCGGGAGCGGAGUGAAAUAGAACCUGA
rnacentral:rRNA from 1 species